rnacentral:rRNA from 1 species
UGCCAGCCGCCGCGGUAAUACGGGGGGGGCAAGCGUUGUCCGGAAUCAUCGGGCGUAAAGGGCGAGUAGGUGGGGUUGUAAGUCGGGAGUGAAAGUUCGAGGCUCAACUUCGAAUCUGCUUUUGAAACUACAGUUCUUGAGUACGAGAGGGGAAAGUGGAAUUCCCGGUGUAGCGGUGAAAUGCGUAGAUAUCGGGAAGAACACCAGCAGCGAAGGCGGCUUUCUGGCUCGUAACUGACACUGAAUCGCGAAAGCGUGGGGAGCGAACAGGAUUAGAUA